CAAGGCACAGCAGAUAGGAAAACAGCCUUGCUCCCCACUCCAGAUCUAUUAAAAAAGCCUGAGUGCACACAUGUAUUUUGUCUUGCUGCUGUUAAUCUCCCAUCUGAGGAAACCAAGGCUGGCACAUACACAUUUGGAGCUAAAGCCAUCCUUCCCUGAGAAUUCCUUAAUUCCAUAUUCAAGCAUCAUGAGGUUGAUUCUUGAGGCUUCAAAAUACCAAGAAGAUGCAUUCCUGCCACCACAGACUGUAGUUGUGCAUAGCUGCUGAAACUUCCAGGGUCUCCCAGUAUCAGCCUCCCAUGAGCACAGCAGAGGGAUAGCCUAGGAGGAGAGCUUAUGAAGCUUGAAAGUGGGAGACAUCAGCUGAACGUGAGGGACAACAACUCCAGCAUUUCCUGGAUGGUUCUUCCCAGUUUUUCUAGCUAAAAUCAAUCAGCAGUGGACAAGUCAAGAUAUGUUUCCCUUGAAGAACACCAAGUUGUAACUGCAGCUUAUGAAGCACCUUUCCACCUUCUGCCAUUUUGGAAAACCUUUUCCCUUGCAUCAUCUUCAGCCCACGACAAGGAUCAGCAUCAUCUGAAGAAAAAACAUUAAGAAAAGGUCCUCAGAUAUGAUGCAGCAUCCCUGCUGGUGUCUGUGCUCAAAACUCACUUUCUGCCCUAGGGUUAUUGUGUCACAAUUCCAAGACAGGUAACGGAGUAUUCUAUACUUAGGUUUUCUACUCAGAUCAUGAACCUUGAACUCAAGCACAGUCCUAGCUCCACACAGGGCUCCCCUGCUGGGGACAGGCCACAGUGCUUAUGAGAAAGUGAAGUCCACGGUUCACACCCUGGCACAUGAGGUUAAUCUGAAUUCAGUGGUUCAUGAUAUUUGACCUAGGAAAGAAGAUCCUGAAAGUCACAGAAUCAUUAAGGUUGGAGAACACCACUGAGAUCAUCUAGUUGAACCAUCAACCCAUCACCAUCAUACCAUUAAACCAUGCCACUCAGUGUGACACCUACCCUUUUCUUGAAAAUCUCCAGGAAAAGCUGAUAUAUGGGCAUUUUUGCUGACAUUCUUCCAACAAUGAUGACCUCCAUAAGAAUUUCUAGGCACCUCCUGAUGUAAAUCGCCUGAGUUGACUGUUAGAAGACACGCCAGAUCUGGAAGUACAUUUAAAAGGAAGUACUCAGUAGUAGAUUGCUUAGAAGAAUGAACAGGUGGCAUCUACCCAUCCAUCCUCCUCUGCUCACUGUCUAUAACGACACUGCAAGACAAAGGACUGUGGAUUCCCAUCCCUGGAGGUAUUCAAGGUCAGGUUGGAUUCAGCCUUGGGCAGCCUGAUCUAGUGGUUGGCAACCCUGCCUAUGGCAGGGGAUUGGAACUGGAUUUAAGGUCCCUUCCAACCCAAGCCAUUCUAUGAUUCUGUAAUUCUACAACUACUCACACAGACUUAGAGCCCACUCCAGUCACAGCUCUAUAGGUGAAUCUUCACAGCCCUCCAAGUUAAAAGAGCCAACACUCAUUGCAGCUACGGUGCGCCCUGUCUCGGUAUGAUUAUGCAUCUAUCUAGGAAUUUGUUUCAUCCCUGUGCCAGACAUCCAACAACUGCAGAGAGCAACACUGCUUAACUGAAUGUUUCCAAUGUUAGGCGCUGAAAGACAUGAUAAAAUAAAAAUGAUCUCUUUCAUUUCCCAUAGCACCUUCUCUUAGAGGGUCUGACAUGAGAAGAAUACCCUUUCUUAUGCUACUGGGCUUUGUAAUCCCAGAGAUCAACCUUCACAUAAAUGGGGAAAAGGAGGUAGACGGCACUCAUGGGAUUUCACUAAGACUAAACAAAAAGUUUACAACGGAGGCAGAAGGGAGACACAGUGCUGCAAACUUCUCUUCCACCCUUUAGACCUAGUACUACUUUUAUUUAUGAUCCUACAAUGCACAGGUCCUGCUACUCCUUCGCUGGAGAAAGGACAAAAUUACUAAGGUUUUUACACCACAUCUAAGGUGGAUACGACAAAACCUGACAUCAGACGAAUGCUUUAGUUCCAGUUUGACAACAGAUUCAUUAGAACGGUCCCAAAGAUUUGCAUCGUAAACAAAGCAAUAAACAACAAUGAAAGCUUGCAGCCUACUAAGGCUAUUCUGGGAGCCAGGACCUCAGCAGUAUCUCAGAAGGUCACAUCAGAAGGGCACACCAGCUGCUAUCAGGAGGUCUUGUGGCUACUUGGCUCUGGUUGGUGUCAAAUCCAUCCCCCGGUGCACGCCACAAAGCAGCCUGUGACUGACUCCUGUGAGUGACUCCGUGUAUUUCCAGCUCCCAUUUACUUAAUUUAGCUGCUGGCUGACGCCACACCUUCUUUCCCCAGCCACAUUCAUUACUCCAGGCCUUGAGGGAGAGCAGGGGUGCAUAUGCUGUUGCAGUCUUUUAUUUCUGGCAUGUGCCUGGAGUGCUGAGCUGGCCAAGGCACAUGGGAGAUCCCUCCCACCCCAGGGCAAAGGCUAUUUCAACCAUCCCUGGGAAGGGCCAGGAAAGGAAGCCUGCCAUGCAGACCUGGCAGCCAUCUCCAUUCCAGCUUCCAAAACCAGAGCAUGGAAGAAUUCACCUCUUAUCAGCAGCCCUGUUCCUCCUUGCAGCUCGCCCUGCAGCUUUCCAGGCUGCCUGCUGGAGUGAGAAGGGUGCAGCUCCUGGCACAGGGCUCAGAAAGGUGCGUUCACCCAGGUGCACCCAACCUGGAAGGCUGUGAUAGCAAUCACAGCCAGGCCUGCUGGUUCUGCCCCAAAUUGUUUCCAAGUGUAUUAAAACUAGGACUUGAAACAGCAAUGCCAGGCUUUGGCUUCGGCCAGUCCUUACCUGUCACCUGC
ensembl:lncRNA